AUCUUUCGCCUCACUCAACACAACUCUGCAAAUCUUCAACCCGGCAGCCCAAUUCCCAUAUCAACAACCCAUGCCAAUGCCAAGGUUUCCACCAAGCGAUUCGGACGAAGAAGAACAACAACCACCUCCUCAGACUUAAGCGAUAGCAGAGAAGUCCUCACGUACUUAUUUUGACUAUUCAUCCAAUGAGGACAUUGUAUUACUUAAGUUUGG
rnacentral:lncRNA from 1 species